GUGCUGGAGGAUUCUUUACAAGGAAGCUCCUUGUGAGACUUCUGUCUGGGACAGGGCCCAGGGCUGCAAGGCUUGUUUCAACAACAGUCUGUCUGCACGAGCAUUUUGUUUUCAUUCUGUCCGUAUAAGACAAUUCUAUGUUUUCUUUUGAAUGUUUGAAGAACUGCAGGGUAAAACACCUGUAGAGGCAAAUUCAAAUCUAAACUACAAGGUCCAUCACCAAGGUGUUACAUUAAAGGGAGAAAGGGUCCAGCAUGCAGCAAAUUGAGAGCUUUGUGCUUUUUCAGCAUGUCCUAGAUCGAUCACUACUUGAAUAAUCCAGAGAGCCCAGCAGAUUUAACACCUGUGAGACUUCUAGAUCUGCAACUGACUCAAGCACCCUACAGUAAUGUGCUUCGACCCCAGGUUUCUUCCUUCACAAAGAAAAUCUACAAUAGGUUCUGUUGGUCCAGCUAUCCCACAGGGAACCGGAAGACAGCUCUGACUUACUAGAAACUCAGUCAUGGAGCCAUUCAAUUAACUGUGCUAUAAUAAAAGGUCAAAUGACGCACCAAAAUGUUUAUGUACACCUACAUUCUGUCAUGGCAUAAAUGCAUUUGAACAAAUCUUACUGAACUGAUCAAGGAAAAAAGUAAGGUUCUUUUUUUCUUCAUUUCUCCAUAUACUCCUUGUGCCACCUCUUUGUGUAUCAAAUGAAAAGAACUACAGGUACUUUCCCUGUGAAUGCACAUUCUUUAAAGCAUAUGAGUUUGUUUUGUUUUUUGUUUGUUUGUUUGUUUUAAAUUAAGCAUAA